UUUAGCUUGGAAACACGAUAACAUUGAAAAAGGAGACACAUAAUUAGUAGGAAACCCUUUGAUCAUGAUGUCGCCAGAUUGAAUGUAGAUGCAGUAUAACUUUAGCCAGCUAACUAAGUCUGAGGGGGACCACCGUCUUUUAGCUAGAUAUGAUUAGCAUUGUUAGCUUUUAUGAUUAUCUUUGAUAGUAACAGUAAUGGCAACAAUGCAAUCUCUCUAAAGUAAAUUUAACGACAUCUAAUAUGGCAGUUGUUUCCUACUAAUUAUUUUCCUACUUUAGCAAUGUCAUCAUAUUUUUAUGCCACUAAAUAAGUGUAAUUUAGACAAAACAGUUACAUUAGCCUCCGAGGUGCAACCCAUGUCUAGGGCACAAAUAUAUAUUGGAUGCAGCUAUAGUGGUACAAGCUAACUCAUGUCUGACUACCAUAGUGUACUAACUAGCAGCAACAAACUCAAACCAACCCAGUACUAAAGUAAAACAUAUCAAAGUUGGUUGCGUAGUGUAACGGUACCGCCAGUCAGACUACGUCUGUAAAGCAUAUAAUUAGCUUCCAAACAAGAUUACGUUAUUUCUCGAGCUAUGUUUAUAAUUAAAGGAUAAUGACAACCGUUUACCCUGUUUUUCUAUUAGACAAAGUACACCGUUUGGUGCCUGAUUAAUCCCCUGGCCAUGAAUGGAGGCCGGGACCUACCAGAAGGAGCAAAGAUGAGUAUCCUAACAUGUCCAGUAUUGUGAUUUCAAUGGUUUAGCGACCUCCAAAAAUAAUUUAAUUCACUGUUAUCUUGCUAUUUUCACAGCUUGUCAGGCAAGACCUCAGACUAAAAGUGUGCCAUGUAACACCUCCGUUGGUGCCAGAGUCUCCCACGACACUUAGGAAAAGGACACGCCAUCAUGAGGCCUCUGAUAGUGACCUGAGUUGAUUCCCUGAUGACACAGACUAUUUCAUCAACAGUGACAGAGCCCCUCUCAUUCAACACCACCUCAUAAGAUUGCCUGCUGCAGUUGUUCAAGAGAUUUCCAGUUUGCAGUUGAACAUGCACCAUAGAGAAUACCAGCAAGGGGGCACUGAUCAGCAUCAUGCAGACAUGUCUUCGCUGUGAGCAUUCCUACGAAUGGAACAGUCAGCCACAUGUUGGCAAGUAUCCGGACAUUAACCUUCACAAAUACAGAAGGUAACCCACUUCAUUACUUUGAUACAUUUGAUAACCCAAUUGUGAAACGUAUUUUAUGUAAACUGAUAUUAUUUUCUGCUUCUUUUCUACUUCUUAGAUGAAAAUAAUGUCCAGGGCAUAACCUUGCCUGGUGGAACAAGCUUAUUGCUUGUUCACCAUUAUGUUUCACUUCCCAUUUUAUGAUAUUUAUUUAAUUUUAUUUACUUGACCUUUAUUUAACUAGGCAAGUCAGUUAAGAACAAAUUCUUAUUUUCAAUGACUGCCUAGGAACAGUGGGUUAACUGCCUUGUUCAGGGGCAGAACAACAGAUUUUUACCUUGUCAGCUCGGGGAUUUGAUCUUGCAAUCUUUCGGUUACUAGUCCAAAGCUCUAACCACUAGGCUACCUGCCGCCGAUAUCUGAAGUGAAACAGAAAGGUGAACACAACGAUCAGGUUGGUUCCACCAGGCUAAUCAUAACCACCAUUGAUAAUGGUGUGUGUGUGUGUGUGUGUGUGUGUGUGUGUGUGUGUGUGUGUGUGUGUGUGUGUGUGAGUGAGAGACCAGUAUUUUUGAUGAGGGGCCAAGAGCUGAUCUAUGCUGCUAUUGGGGCUCUGGCAAAGUGCUCACCAAAGUAUUCAUACCCCUUGACUUAUUCCACAUUUGUUGUGUUACAGCCUGAAUUCUAAAUGGAUUAAAGAUAUGUUUUUCUCACCUGUC